rnacentral:rRNA from 1 species
GUGGGGAAUCUUCCGCAAUGGACGAAAGUCUGACGGAGCAACGCCGCGUGAGUGAUGAAGGUCUUCGGAUUGUAAAGCUCUGUUAAUCGGGACGAAAGAGCCUAGUGUGAAUAAUGCUAGGAAGUGACGGUACCGGAAUAGAAAGCCACGGCUAACUACGUGCCAGCAGCCGCGGUAAUACGUAGGUGGCAAGCGUUGUCCGGAAUUAUUGGGCGUAAAGCGCGCGCAGGCGGAUCUGCCAGUCUGUCUUAAAAGGUCGGGGCUUAACCCCGUGAUGGGAUGGAAACUACAGAUCUAGAGUAUCGGAGAGGAAAGUGGAAUUCCUAGUGUAGCGGUGAAAUGCGUAGAUAUUAGGAAGAACACCAGUGGCGAAGGCGACUUUCUGGACGAAAACUGACGCUGAGGCGCGAAAGCCAGGGGAGCGAACGGGAUUAGAUACCCGGGUAGUCC